rnacentral:rRNA from 1 species
GGAAUUGACGGGGGCCCGCACAAGCGGCGGAGCAUGCGGAUUAAUUCGAUGCAACGCGAAGAACCUUACCAAGGCUUGACAUGCACUGGAUCGCUGCAGAGAUGUGGUUUUCUUUGGACUGGUGCACAGGUGGUGCAUGGUUGUCGUCAGCUCGUGUCGUGAGAUGUUGGGUUAAGUCCCGCAACGAGCGCAACCCUCGUUCCAUGUUGCCAGCACUUCGGGUGGGGACUCAUGGGAGACUGCCGGGGUCAACUCGGAGGAAGGUGGGGACGACGUCAAAUCAUCAUGCCCCUUAUGUCUUGGGCUUCACGCGUGCUACAAUGGUCGGUACAAUGGGUUGCGAUACUGUGAGGUGGAGCUAAUCCCAAAAAGCCGGUCUCAGUUCGGAUUGGGGUCUGCAACUCGACCCUAUGAAGUCGGAGUCGCUAGUAAUCGCAGAUCAGCAAUGCUGCGGUGAAUACGUUCCCGGGCCUUGUACACACCGCCCGUCAAGUCACGAAAGUCGGUAACACCCGAAGCCGAUGGCCCAAGCUUUAUGCGGGGAGUCGUCGAAGGUGGGAUCGGUGAUUGGGACUAAGUCGUAACAAGGUAGCCGUACCGGAAGGUGCGGCUGGAUCACCUCCUUU